GGGGCUUUAGCUCAGUGGUAGAGCGCGUGCUUUGCAUGCAUGAGGUCACCGGUUCGAACCCGGUAAGCUCCA
rnacentral:tRNA from 1 species